rnacentral:lncRNA from 1 species
AGAAGGUGCACAGUUCUUGCAAGAAGAAUCCCUCUGGAGCAGCAAUGAGGGAUGUGAUUGGGAGCCUGGGGCUUGAAGGGGGCUGAAACCCGUUGGAGCAUGUUGAUUGGAUGUGCGGAGCUGCGUAGGGACUGAGGAGGCUGAAGCCCAUUGGAGCACGUUGAUUGCCCACAGGGAUGAUCAGCUGAAGUCUAUAUCGGCAUCGGGAAGCCUGCAGAAGCCACAGCCUGUACCCAAGAAGCUGCCAACCUCUUCCCAAUGUCCCACAAUGUCCUCUACAUGCGCGGCCAGAUUGCUGAGCUCCGGGGAAGCAUGGACGAGGCGCGGCGGUGGUAUGAAGAGGCCUUAGCCAUCAGCCCCACCCACGUGAAGAGCAUGCAGCGACUG